GGCGAGAUGGCCGAGCGGUCUAAGGCGCCAGACUAAGGUGAUCGGUUCUGUGGCGAAUGGUCAAUCUGGUCCGAAAGGGCGUGGGUUCGAAUCCCACUCUCGUCA
rfam:Ceriporiopsis subvermispora B unplaced genomic scaffold CERSTscaffold_17, whole genome shotgun sequence.